AGUCAAUGGGAACAACAUACGAUCUAAACCAUUGGAUCAAAUUAAGAUUAAAUCCUGACCAUUAUAAUUCAGAAAAACAAGGAGAGGUUAAUUGGCGGUUAGGUCAAAGCCAGAAUUUUAGUACAUCCUCUCUCCCACGUUUCCACACUCAACCCUUUCAAAAGUUUUUCUCCACUGCGCAUUUUUCACACUCCGAUCGUCUUCCUCCUCAGUUCUUCUUUUAACCUUUUCUCACACUCCGUCCGGAUCAUCAUAGAUAACGAAGAUUACGAAGCCUUAACCGUUCUUUUAACCUUUUUUCUUCUUUUUUGGACUCAAGGCUAAAUUGGUCAAAUCGAAAGGUUUGUUUGUGUGAUUUUGAUGCAGUUAACCUUAAAGAAGACUUGGAUGUGAAUCCAUUCGAAUCAAGCAACGAAGGACAACCACCAAUUGCCACCAUCGCCAGCCUCUACCAAAAGAGUUCCAUUUGAAACAAGGCCACGAUUUCCAUCGCAUCAACCAGUACCGAUCGAUUGUAAGUUAAUCGAGAUUCAAGGUCUGUUGUAAUGGUGUUUUGGGAAAUGAAUUUGAAGGUUCCUGUUGAUGGUGGUUCUUUAUAAUUAGCAUCAAGAUCAUGAUGUCAACUUCGUAUUGGCCAUAUGUUGAUAAUUAGCAUCAUAAUUUCAUUGGGAUUUUUGCCUAUUACCUUUUUAUCUUAUGUUGUAGAUAUCGUUUUUUUACAUAAAGAUAUAAGAGUCUAGAGUCUACGUAUAUCGAACUUGCUGGUAACUCUACUCGAUGUUUACACCUUAUAUAUAGCUUUGCAUGAAAUUAAAUUGUGACGGAAUCAAUAUUCUGGUGUUUGAUUGCAUGUUGGUUAAAGGAAUGUCUAUGAGCAAGAGACUUAUCAUUUAGCCCUGAGAAGAAAGAGACAAUGCAGGUUCUUUUUAUGUUCCAUACAUAUUUUCUUUUCUAUUAUUAUUUUAAUUAACCUGAGUAUAAUUUCAAGUUCUUGGUCACAAAUAAAAAAGUUAGGUAACAAUGUAAUUAUGAAGAUCAAUUGUGAAAUUUAUGUAUAGAGAAAAAAUCAUUCUACAAAGUAAAUGCACAAGAAACUUAAGUUUUACAGCUGAAAAAUCUUUAAAAUGGUUAGAAUUGUGACAUUUUACUGCACAAGAAACUUAAGUUUUGUAAUCUAUUAAUGGGUCGGUUCUGGUUUUACAGGAACUUUAUGUCUAAAAGUUUCGUUUUUCCUUGUAAUAACUAACUACCUAAGCGCAGCAAUGGGAGACAUGGAGAUAUGCAGGUGCUUGGAGUAAAAUAAGCGCAACAAUAGGGGACAUGGAACAGGACUGAAUUCUGGAGAGACAAGUGGUUGGGACAUAUACCGUUGAAAGAGGUCUUUCCCGUAUGACAUGGAGAAACAAAUAUCGUGCCUGAUUUCGGAUAGAAUCUUCGUCGGCAAGGAUAGUGGCAAGCGGGUCAAAUGGUGUUGGAAGAUAAAAAGACUCCCGGGUAUUAUGGUGGAAGAUAUAAAUGACUUGGAAGAGCUAAUUAUGAGUUAUAACUUUACGUUAGAGGAAGACGGAUAGGGCUGGAAGCUGGAAUAUUCGGGUGUCUUUUCGGUUAAAUCUAUGAGGAAGGCAAUGUUAAUGGACGAUGGAGGAACAUAUCCAAUGAGAAAUUUUUAAGUGGAUUUGAUGGGUCCCAUCUAAAGUCGCGUGCUUUAUAUGGCAUCUAGUGCAGAACAGAAUCUCGGUGGCAUGCAACCUAGCGGGUAGAGUUACCCUGCCAUCUACAGUAUGCAGCCUAUGUUCAGCUGAGGAGGAAUCUAAAAGCCAUUUAAUGCUCGAGUGCAAUGCCUCUACGGAUAUAUGGAAUAAAGUUGCUUCAUGGAUCGGAAUGGAUUAAAAGAAGAGCAAAAUUGAAAAAUAUAGACAGGGAGCUAUGGAUUACAGAUGGUAAGGAGCACUUAGUAGGCUUUAGGACCUUAGGUGUUGAAAGUGGGGUCUGGAAUCUGGAUUUUAUUUGGAUUGGUGUACUUAAUACGACAUUUCAUUGCAAUACUUUUAGUUAUUAUA